GACGAACGCUGGCGGCGUGCUUAACACAUGCAAGUCGAACGGUGAAGCGCCUUCCUUUUUGGUGGGUGUGGAUGAGUGGCGAACGGGUGAGUAACACGUGAGUAACCUGCCCCCUUCUUCUGGAUAACCGCAUGAAAGUGUGGCUAAUACGGGAUAUUCUGGGUCUGUCGCAUGAUGGGUCUGGGAAAGAUAUUGUUUCGGUGGGGGAUGGGCUCGCGGCCUAUCAGCUUGUUGGUGGGGUGAUGGCCUACCAAGGCGGUGACGGGUAGCCGGCCUGAGAGGGUGGACGGUCACACUGGGACUGAGACACGGCCCAGACUCCUACGGGAGGCAGCAGUGGGGAAUAUUGCACAAUGGGCGCAAGCCUGAUGCAGCGACGCCGAGUGAGGGAUGGAGGCCUUCGGGUUGCGAACCUCUUUCGCCAGUGAAGCAGGCCUGCCUCGUUUGUGGGUGGGUUGACGGUAGCUGGAUAAGAAGCGCCGGCUAACUACGU
rnacentral:rRNA from 1 species